rfam:Oryza glaberrima chromosome 12 Oglab12_0209_28, whole genome shotgun sequence.
AAUAAGUACAGUUUUGCACUAUUCACGUUUAACGUUUGACCGUUCGUCUUAUUUGAAAAUUUUUUAUGAUUAGUAUUUUUAUUGCUAUUAGAUGAUAAAACAUGAAUAGUACUUUAUGUGUGACUAAAUAUUUUUAAAUUUUUCAUAAUUUUUUUAAAUAAAACGGGCAAUCAAAUGUUGGGUACGGAUAUUCACGGCUGCAUUUAUU